GACGAACGCUGGCGGCGUGCUUAACACAUGCAAGUCGAACGGAAAGGCCUGCUUUCCCUUGUGGAUUGCGGGUACUCGAGUGGCGAACGGGUGAGUAACACGUGAGUGAUCUGCCCCCAACUUGGGUAUAAGCCUGGGAAACUGGGUCUAAUUCCCGAUAGGACUGCAGGGUGGUGCCUGUGGUGGAAAACGAUUUUCUAGUGGUUGGGGAUGAGCUCGCGGCCUAUCAGCUUGUUGGUGGGGUAAUGGCCUACCAAGGCGGCGACGGGUAGCCGGCCUGGGAGGGUGGACGGCCACAUUGGGACUGAGAUACGGCCCAGACUCCACGGGAGGCAGCAGUGGGGAAUAUUGCACAAUGGGCGGAAGCCUGAUGCAGCGACGCCGCGUGGGGGAUGACGGCCUUCGGGUUGUAAACUCCUUUCGACCGCGAGGAAGCCACCUGGUUGGAAGGGUGGUGACGGUAGUGGUAGAAGAAGCACCGGCUAACUACGUG
rnacentral:rRNA from 1 species